GUGCCAGCAGCCGCGGUAAUACGGAGGGUGCGAGCGUUAAUCGGAAUUACUGGGCGUAAAGGGCGCGUAGGCGGUCGCGCAAGUCGGGUGUGAAAGCCCCGGGCUCAACCUGGGAAUUGCAUUCGAUACUGCGUAACUAGAGUCUGGUAGAGGGAAGCGGAAUUCCGCAUGUAGCGGUGAAAUGCGUAGAUAUGCGGAGGAACACCAGUGGCGAAGGCGGCUUCCUGGACCAAGACUGACGCUGAGGCGCGAAAGCGUGGGGAGCAAACAGGAUUAGAUACCCUGGUAGUCCACGCCCUAAACGAUGAGGACUAGACGUUGGGGGGAUAAAACCCCUUAGUGUCGCAGCUAACGCGUGAAGUCCUCCGCCUGGGGAGUACGGCCGCAAGGUUGAAACUCAAAUGAAUUGACGG
rnacentral:rRNA from 1 species